rnacentral:rRNA from 1 species
AGAGUUUGAUCAUGGCUCAGAUUGAACGCUGGCGGCAUGCCUUACACAUGCAAGUCGAACGGUAACGGGCCUUCGGGUGCCGACGAGUGGCGAACGGGUGAGUAAUGUAUCGGAACGUACCUUCAGUGGGGGAUAACGUAGCGAAAGUUACGCUAAUACCGCAUAUUCUGUGAGCAGGAAAGCAGGGGAUCGCAAGACCUUGCGCUGAUUGAGCGGCCGAUAUCAGAUUAGCUAGUUGGUGAGGUAAAGGCUCACCAAGGCGACGAUCUGUAGCGGGUCUGAGAGGAUGAUCCGCCACACUGGAACUGAGACACGGUCCAGACUCCUACGGGAGGCAGCAGUGGGGAAUUUUGGACAAUGGGGGCAACCCUGAUCCAGCCAUGCCGCGUGAGUGAAGAAGGCCUUCGGGUUGUAAAGCUCUUUCGGCCGGGAAGAAAUCGUAUGGGUUAAUACCCUGUGCGGAUGACGGUACCGGCAUAAGAAGCACCGGCUAACUACGUG